rnacentral:lncRNA from 1 species
CCAGGCUCUUCCGGGGGAGAGUCCAGCUGCUUCCAGGCCUCCUCAUUUAUCGGUGACCUCUGCUGGUGCGGAAUUGAAAGCCAUGCGGGUGCACCCACACGCACUGGUUUCACCACUCUUGGUCCUUUCCUAAGAGCACUUGAAAAUGAACAAAUCCCAGGUAAGUUGCUUAGGAAUUUACUUCCCACAUUUUUAACAGUGGAUUUCAAGAGAUUAUUAGGGGUUUAUACAUCGAGAUGAAAUAGUAGAACUAUAUAUAUAUAUCUAUAUAUAAUUCUGCAUUAGAGA